GGGGCUGACCGGUUUUGACAGCAGGCAGAGUCUGAUUGUAAGCACGUCGAGCGUUGUGUGGGCUCUCGUAAAACUGAAUGCUCAAAAUACAAAUGGCAAUAAUAGCUAUCAACUCGCUGCUUAGUUUUACCGAGUAAAACGGCUUAAUCCGGCGGCCCAAGGAGGUCGUCAGACGAGUACCCCGCCCGUCCGCUCCGUUCCGUAACGGAUGAGCAAUGGGGUAUCAUUCAAACGGAAAUAGCGGAUCCGACGCCUAUACCGAUUCGCAAAAUUUUAUAGGCUGGGGUCGUGGUUAGGCCGCCUUCGGCCAGGCUGCGACAGGAGGACCAAUCGAAGGAUAAACGUGUAGAAAGCUUUCGGGUUCCUUGUUUGGACGAGGGUUCGACUCCCUCCAGCUCCACAC
rnacentral:tmRNA from 1 species